rnacentral:rRNA from 1 species
GAUGAACGCUAGCUACAGGCUUAACACAUGCAAGUCGAGGGGAAACGACAUCGAAAGCUUGCUUUUGAUGGGCGUCGACCGGCGCACGGGUGAGUAACGCGUAUCCAACCUGCCCAUCACUUGGGAAUAACCUUGCGAAAGUAAGACUAAUACCCAAUGAUAUCCAUAGAAGACAUCUGAAAGGGAUUAAAGAUUUAUCGGUGAUGGAUGGGGAUGCGUCUGAUUAGCUUGUUGGCGGGGUAAACGGCCCACCAAGGCAACGAUCAGUAGGGGUUCUGAGAGGAAGGUCCCCCCACAUUGGAACUGAGACACGGUCCAAAACUCCUACGGGAGGCAGCAGUGAGGAAUAUUGGUCAAUGGGCGAGAGCCUGAACCAGCCAAGUAGCGUGCAGGACGACGGCCCUAUGGGUUGUAAACUGCUUUUAUAAGGGAAUAAAGUGAGUCUCGUGAGACUUUUUGCAUGUACCUUAUGAAUAAGGACCGGCUAAUUCCAUGCCAGCAGCCG